AUACCCCACUGGGUGCUUGUAUUGGCGGCUAUGGAAAUACUGGCCUUGGAACCUCUCGAUACCUUCGGGAGGAAGAAGAGGGAAAAAAAACCCCAUAAACGAUGCUGGAGGAAGUUAGCCAAGCUACGUGUAAAGACUCAGAGAAACCAACAGAAAUAAAGAUGGUGGUCGGCAUUUUUCAGCUCCCCAGCUGUAUUCCAAUAUUACUCUUGGUCCUGUGCAUGGCAGCACACCCCACCUGUCC
rnacentral:sRNA from 1 species